rnacentral:lncRNA from 1 species
AUGAGAGAUUUUAAAUCACAAUGGACGUUCGAGGAGCAUGACUGCCAGCACUGUGAGCAGCAGGGCUGUCUCCAGCCGUCGACAGGGAUGCCGGCUUCAUCUUCCACAGCCCGCAGGCAGUUCCAGGCACCCCUUCUUGCUGGCAAAAUGGGAGUUCACAGGCCAGAGGAGCCAUCAGUCCUAACACAGCACAAAGAAGGAAACACGACCAUGAGAGAACGGAGAAGGGCCACCCUAGGCAGCCAGCCAAAGGGGCAAGAGGUAAAAAGAGUGGAAGUGGCGCGCCGUCGAGAUUCCCCAAAAGAAAAUAGAAAACCAUCUUGGACAACCAGCUAUAGCGCGUACCAACAAAUAAAAAGAAGACAUUCUGGAGUUCCCGCUGUGACACGGGGGGUUAGGACCCUGAUUACAGAUGCCUGGGUUGCUGUGGAGGCAUGGGUUGAAUUGCCGGCCCAGGGCAGUGGCUUAAAGGAUCUGUCACUGCCACAGGCGCAGCGUAGAUCACAGCUGUGGCUCAGAUUCAAUCCCUGGCUUGGGAACGUCCAUAGGCCACAGAUGUGGCCACCAAAAAAAAAAAAAAAAAAAAAAAAAAAAAGCUGCCCAAGAAUCCCCAAGAUCCCCAUUGCAGAACUGUUCAGACCACACACUGUUCUGGUGAAGAGUACAGCCUGGAGUCAGGGCGCCUGGAUGUGAACCCUGGUUCUGAUACUUAGCUGUAGAUGUUGGGCAAGUUACUUAGCUUUUUAGCGCUCCAGUUUCUUCAUCAGUAAGGUAGGAAUAGUAACAGUACCCACCUGAUACAGUUGUCAUGCAUCACUUCUUCUCUCCAAGUUUAAAAAUACCUUUCAAAAGAAACAAGGAGGAAAUUAACUUGCUAAGAUUAUAUACCUUGUAGCAGUUAAAAAAAAAAAAAAAUCCCCAGAGAAGUUAAAUCAUCCAAAAUGAGGUUGGGAGAGGGAAGACGUGGAGGGGAAGACACUGAUGAAAAACUCUGGCUCCCGUCCUUCAGAAGAGGGUGAACUCUUGAGGGAACAGCACUGUGAGGAGGAAACUAGCAAAACACAGAGGAGGAAAGACCAUUAUGAAAGAAUAUUCAAAGUACUUUUAGGAAAUUCUCUGGAGGGAAGUAGGAAGGCAAGCGUCCUAUCUCAUGGUGAGGCAGAAAGAGAACUAGAGCAAUCAGAGAAUGCAGUUUUAUUUCUAAAUCUGACACUGGUGUCACCUUGGUCAACUGACCUCACCUGCCUCAGCCUCAUUUGCCUUAAAACAAAAUUAUCUCCAUGCACUCUACUCUCUUCAGCUCUCAAAAUCUUUGAUUCUAGCAAUCAGUACUCUAGUUCAGGAGAUCUGAUACUCACGGGCCCUUCCAUGAAGACACAUGAAAGUCUAUAGCAGGCAAAGCCCCUCCAUCAAUGAGGCAAAUCAAGGGAAUCCUAGAAGGCUGGUUGUGGAAUUGGGUUCUGAGGGCUCUGCUCUCUAGGGAACAAUUUGGCUUAGUUGUCUCUUUCAAAGUCAUGGAAUCACAGGAUUGCCCAAACUGGAAAGUACCCUGCACCCUCAUUCUGCAGGUUCAGAAAAGUCAAAUGACCUGGCCAAGGUCAUCCAGCAGAAUAUGGCAGAGCCAGGACUAGAGCUUGCCCACUGCCUCUGCUGUCUGUAAAUGCAGGGGCUCAAGGGCUAGAACACAGCAAGUGUGCCCUUACAUAUGACUUUUAAUUGAACAGUGUCUUGGACACAAGCAGGGCUGGGGCUAGGGUAAGGUAAAUGGGGCACUGGUGUCAGGAGCAAAAUUAAAGGCGGAGCAUAAAAAAACUCAGCAUUAAAACACAGUAUCUUUAAUGCACUACUAAAAAUUAAAAAUCCAUGAACAAAAUACACAAUAUAACAUUUUUAAAUAAAGACAGAAUUGGGGAGUUUCUGUCGUGGCUC